rnacentral:tRNA from 1 species
GGCCCCGUAGCUCAGCAUGGAAGAGCGCGGGCCUCCUAAGCCCGUGGUCGUGGGUUCAAGUCCCACCGGGGCCGCCA